UCUAGGUGCAAGCUGGCAACGGGUUGCGGCUCUCCCCAGAGGAGCAGCCAUCGAGCGCAGAGAGCAGGCCCAAGCGAAGGGCAGAGAGCAGAGCCAAGACCAGAGAGAACGCGUCCAUUCAUCCUUGUUAUAUAGCACCACCCAUUACUCCAAACACCAAUGGGGUCCUUGCUCUGCAAAUCAGGGAAACAGAUUCAAGGGGCAGAGCCCACACAGGCAUUAGACCAGAGGGCGCAACCCCAGGACUGACCAGCAGGGUCUUAACAACUGUAUAUUAGUAAUUUAUUGAUCCAUACAAUUCAUGCCCAACUAAUACGUUUUCUUUUGUAUGCAGAUAUUACUGGGAGAAGAGUUAUAUAUAUAUAUAUAUGAACUCCCUUGGGGAAUCUAAAGAGAGGGUGGCGACCAUAGUUCAAAACUGGAGUUCAUUUGCUGAAUGAUGGGGAUGUCAUGGCCCCUGGACACCGGUAUCCAUAAAGCAUCCCCUGCAGAUAGAUGGGAAGUCAUGUGGCGUUCAUUUUGUUAUGUAUGCCCAGGCCAUAUUGACAGGGGAUGCUCUUCAGCAGAG